rnacentral:rRNA from 1 species
UACGGAGGGGGCUAGCGUUGUUCGGAAUCAUUGGGCGUAAAGGGCGCGUAGGCGGCCGAUCAAGUCGGAGGUGAAAUCCCUCGGCUCAACCGGGGAACUGCGUGUGAUACUGGCGGGCUUGAAUUCGGGAGAGGGAUGUGGAAUUCCAGGUGUAGCGGUGAAAUGCGUAGAUAUCUGGAGGAACACCGGUGGCGAAGGCGGCAUCCUGGACCGAGAUUGACGCUGAGGCGCGAAAGCUAGGGUAGCAAACGGG